rnacentral:rRNA from 1 species
AGCGCAGACGGUUUAUUAAGUCUGAUGUGAAAGCCCGGAGCUCAACUCCGGAAUGGCAUUGGAAACUGGUUAACUUGAGUGCAGUAGAGGUAAGUGGAACUCCAUGUGUAGCGGUGGAAUGCGUAGAUAUAUGGAAGAACACCAGUGGCGAAGGCGGCUUACUGGACUGCAACUGACGUUGAGGCUGAAAGUGUGGGGUAGCAAACA